UCCACUUUAGUUAGGGUGCCCCCAGCCCGAAACGAGACUCAGCACAGGUGGCUUCCGUGGAGAGGGAACAAUUACCUCCACACUGGAGGACCUGGCAGACACUACGCUAACCAAGAGGUCAAGGUCAACAACACCAGUGAUGAGAGAAGCCGACUUUGGGUGACUCCUGAUAGGAUCCCAAACCCGCACAGCAUGGAGCUAAUCACGUGAAAACAUCAGACGAACCGAAAGCAGAGACAAUAUACAAAGCAACCGUCUACACACGUUAAAAAAAAUCAAGAUCAUGAAAAAGAAAGACAGGCUGAGGAAUCGUUCCAGGGUGGAAGGAAAAGAGAGAUGUGACGCCUGAAGGCAGUGCGAGGUCCUGGUUUGGGUGGUGGAUCAGGGGGAAAGUAACACAGAGGAUGCUGUUGGGACACAUGGCAAAGUUUGAAUAUCAUCUGAGUUUGACCACCAUACUGUGUUAAGAGAAAGCCCUUGAUCCUAGGAUCUUAGGAGAUCACACUGAAGUAAUUGCGGGUGAAGGGUAUGAGGUCUGCAGUCUGUGCAGGGAUGGCUCAGGAGGCAACUUCCCAUACAUGUACAUACGAUGUAUCACUACGUAUAACCAGAACAUAUUAUAUAUAACAUAACUUAAAAACAUUUUUUUUAGGAAGAUUAGCCCUGAGCUAAUAUCUGCCACCAAUCCUCCUCUUUUUGCUGAGGAAGACUGGCCCUGAGCUAGCAUCUGUGCCCAUCUUCUUCUACUUCAUAUUUGGGACACCUGCCACAGCAUGGCUUGCCAAGUGGUGCCAUGUCCACACCCGGGAUCCGAACCGGUGAACCCUGGGCCACCGAAGCAGAACAUGCGAACUUAACCGCUGCACCACUGGGCCAGGCCUAUAUAUAACUUAUAAUGUGUAAUAUGUAAUAUAUUAUUAUACCGUGCAUUAUUACAAAGAGUGAGGGAGAAAACAAAGGUCAUAAAAUGUUAACAACGGGUGACUCUAGGUGAAGGCUAUAAGAAUGUUAUUUUUUUAAUUCUUGUAAACUUUCUGUAGGUUUGAAAUUAUUUCAGAAUAGAACAUUUAAAGGUAACGCGUGCACACAGCAGAGGUUCCAGCUGCUCACACGGCGUGCGCAGGGAGGCCGGGGCCCCACCACCCAGGCCCCAGGCCCUUGUCCGCUCACAGAGGCAGCCUCAUCAACCCGCUCACGAGCAAUCUUGGCAUCUUUUCCAAAGUACACAUAGUUCUGUAUCCUGCCCUUUUUGUGUAACAUCAUCUCACGAGCAUUUUCCUGUGUUACAAAAAUCUCCUCAAAAAUACCACUUUUAAUGGCUCUCUAGCAGCCUGCCCAAGGUUUCUCUGGCUAUUACCCUCCGUCAGAAUGUGUGUAUUUUUCUGCCUUUUCACCGCUGUGAAUAAUGCUGCAAUGAACAACUUUAAAUGCUCAUCUCUGCUGCAGCUCUGACCAGUCUCUUCAGGAAGAUUCUGAGGAUGGAGACCCGGGGGAGUCUUCUAAAGGCAUUCUGCAGGGCCAGGACGCCCAGCAGGUCCGCACAGAUUCAGCCGUGAGGUCCGGCGCUGCCGAGGAUGUGGGCGCAGAGCCCUGGGGGUGAUGGCACGCCUGCGACGCUCUGGUGGGCAGUUCGGCAAUGACUGUCAGGUCAUGGAAUUGUCACAGUGCUUUCCCUCGACCCAGGAAUCCCACUGUAAGGACCGUUCCUGGAAGAAUGUUUGUUAAGGCAUGCAAAGGGACAGGCAUAAAGGUUUUUAUUUCAGCAUUGUGUGUGACGUUGAAAAGUUGGUAACAACUCAAAUUUCUAUCACAAGGAGAAUAAUUAAAUUAUAGCACGAUCACAACGUGGAGAAUCAGGUAGCAGCUACAAACAGCGGAGUCAGUCUACGUGGCCUUCACGGAAAGAACACGUGGUGUAAAAAAAGAUAAGUUAUAAAAUGAUGUACAUAUAUGAUGCCAUUUAUUUAUUUAUUUAUUUAAAGAUUUUAUUUUUUUCCUUUUUCUCCCCAAAGCCCCCCGUACAUAGUUGUGUAUUUUCAGUUGUGGGUCCUUCCAGUUGUGGCAUGUGGGACACUGCCUCAGCGUGGCCUGAUGAGAGGUGCCAUGUCUGUGCCCAGGAUCUGAACCGGUGAAACCCUGGCCGCCGAAGCAGAGCACGUGAACCUAAUCUCUCGGCCACGGGGCCGGCCCCAGCAUUCAUGUAUUUAAAAACACAAAACAACCUUAUAUAUUUUCUACUGGUUAACCCAGUGGUAAGUAAAUGUGUAGGAAAAGGUGUGCAAGGAUAUGUGCCAGAAUGACAGCAGUCUCGGCCACUGGUGAGGGGGGCAGAGGAAGGGCCUGCAUGAGGAUGUGCCCUGCGCAAAGCUGCCCGCCCAGGGGAGUGGAGCCCAGCCUGUGCUGCCUUCUCCGGGUCAGGCACCUUCAGGCUUGAGUCCACGCAGAGGGGAAGCCUUUUUCUCCUUCUCCCAAAGGUGCCACAUGGGCGGCUAUCUGUCUUGUGGAGGGGACCAGGACUUGGGGGUUGGCUCUGUCAGAGGGAGAUUCAGCGAUGUUUGAACGGUUUUUCACGAGGAAAAUAUUUAUGAAGUGCUUUUAUCAUCACACACACACACACACACCCCCAAAUACUUUUUAGGUGGGGGCUUUGGAGUCACACAGACCUCAGCUUGAGCUCCGGCUCCAUCACUUAGCAGCUGUGUGACUGGGAGCCGGGCGUCUGCCCUGCGACCCUCAGUCUUCUCAUCUGUUACAGGGUGUCGGGCGGGCUUCUGCACUUUUGCCUGCUUGGCUGCCAGAGAGCCCGAAUCUUCUCUGGGAAGCUGCUGCGCCCGCACUGCUGGUCUGUACUGUCUGGCGGGCCAGAAUCAGCCCUCUUCAGGUCAGAGCACGUGACAGGGGCCUAGCUGAGCAGGGGCUCAGUGACUGGUUCAAGAAAGGACGCAUGGCCACCUUUGGACCUGGAAGCCCCCAGUUUUGUGACUUUCACCGGAAGAGCAAGAGCUGCUCCCUUUCCGUGGAGUUGUGGGGACCCCACAUCAGGGGCACCACGUGGAGAUGAGUGCAUAGGAAAAGUGAGCCAGGGCCUGGAGAAAGGGGACUGCCUGGGACAUUACCCAGGGCCCACGUCUAGCGUCUGCUUUCUGGUGACCUGGUCCCUGUCCGUGUCCCCUUGGCCUUCACGGCGGUCACCUGCAGAACUUGCUCACAGGAACCGCACGUGUGAGGCAGGCCAGAAAGUUAGUGCCUCAGGGUGACCCUCCACCACCGAGGGACACGAGCUGCUGAGUGAGGGCCGCCCGGCUCCCUUGCUGUCAGGCACAUCCUGAGAUGUGUUCUGGGACUCCUGGAACUCCCCAGUGGUCACCACUCAGUAGUGCACCCUGCACGGCCCCUCUUCUUCCUCUCUCACUGCCCUACAUCCACACAGCGCUUCCUGGGACCACUCAAAUGUGCGCCCAUGAUGGGUGUCCAAACUAAGACACUGAACCACCAAAUCUCUCUCCCCACUCCUUCCCUCUCUCUCUCUCCCUUCCUCCUUCCCUCUUUGGGCUCCCUCUCUCAUUAAGCCAGUUGGAGUCAAUGUUCUCCACGUGCAACCAAAGAACCUUGAUUAACACUCUGACAGUGACGAUAACAACUAGCUUACAGCGUUUUCCUCUAAGGUGAGACGUGCGCAGUGCUCGUCCUGCGCCUGCUGCACGGCAGACGUGGCCUCCUGCUCCGCUCCAGGCCCCUGACGGAGACAGCGAGCCUUUCAAGUGGACAGCUGGGAAGGGCCUCCUUGUGUGGGUCUGCGGAUGGGUUUAGGCUGCCUGGCUAGACAUAUGCCGUAUACACGCCCCCUCACCUGCCACAGCAGCUCAAGUACCCACAGCAAAGGUCAUUCUUUUCAGUUAAAUCCUCUUCUCAAAGCCAACCCAGAUGCGAGGGAGCACCCAGCACUUCCGUUGAACUUCCCACGCUCAUCACAAUACACUUCUCGAGGCCUCGUCCUGUGCUGAGCUCCAUGAUCUGCCAAAGUGAGGAGUACCGCCCCCUCCAGGUGCUGGCAGCACUGAGUCUUAAGUUCAAGACUCACACAGAAAUGUGUGCAAAUCCUAAUUAUACAGCUCAACGAAUCUUGAAAAGCGAAUAACUUGUGUGACUACAGCCCACAUAAGAAACAGAACGUGACCACGCCCCAGAGCCCCCUUCACCCCAUCCCUGCCUUUCCCGAGGGUGAUGGUUGUCCGACUGUCCACCCACAGGUGAGUUUUGCCUGGUUUUGAACUUUGCUUCAAAAUGAAGUCGCACAGUGGAUGCUCUUUCACGUCUGACUUCUGCUGGACGUUACGCCUGGAGAGCCAUCUGUGUUGCUGUGUACUGGAAGACGGUUCACUUCCAUCGCUGGAGAGGACUUCAUCGGGGGAUGCGGCACAACGCACUUGCCCAUUUCACGGCACGUGGGCGUGUGGUUGUUUCCCGUUUUCUCCCACUGUUAGGAAUAGUGCUGCUUUGGCACUUUGGUUCUUUGUUACUAUAACGAGACUGUAGGAUCCACAGAGGGAGAAAUGAGACCAAGUGUUUCACCGUCAUUUCUCCCUAUUCUGUGCAGUACCACAAACUACCCCGGUGUCACCUGUCCCCACUCUGGCCCUAUGCCAAAAGGUGGAAUUCUCCCAUUGUCUGAAGUGGGCCUGGGUCCCAGAGCUCGUGUGGCUUCCUAGUGAUGUCAAGCGGUCACCUGCUCCUGUAGCUGAGUCUCUGUGAGCAGGACCAAGUGGCCCUGUUGAGAGAGGGGCUGGGAGGAGAGAAUCCCGUUGUCUCACUUAGGACCAGAACUGUGGACCUGUGGUGACAUCUGUGUUAGUUAGGAAUUAUAUCCAGCUGCAAGCAGCAGAGCGCUGGAAAAUCGUGGCUGAGACAGAAGGUUUGUUUUCACAGGUCACAGAAGGCAGGGGCUCCCAGGACCAGGAUGGUGGUUCUAGAGCAUCAUUAGGAACCCACAAUCCUCUGUCCUUCCCUUCUGCCAGAUUUAGAGUUUGGCUCCAUCCUCAAGGUCACAAAAUGGCCUCUACAGUGUCAGCCAUCACGUAUAUAUUCCAGGCAGGAAGAAAAAGAAAGAAGAUAAAGAGGGCACACACUAGCUUUUUUGGAGCUUUUCUGGAAGUCCAGCCCAAGAACACCUACUUCUAUAUCCUUAGCCAUCCUUAUUUACCAGGGAAGUGGGAACUGUAGUCUCAGCUGCUCACCUGGUCAUCUUGCAAGAAGAGGAGACUGGAUGUUGGGCAGGCAAUGAGCAGGCUCUCGUUCAGCAUCCAGCCCUAGUUUUCUUCUCCCUUAUUUUGUGAGGGACAAGGAACUCUCUAAUGCUAGCAAUUGCUAAAAGCAAGUAAGCUGGAUUUCUGAAACGAGAUGCUUUCAACAGGGACUCUGCUGACAUUCCUCCUUCAUGAGAGCCCUGCGGUGUGCCCUUGGGAAGGGGGUACAGGCUCCUCCUUAAGAACAGCAGGUCCUCAUCAGAGCCUAUUAAGGGCAGGGCUCUGGGAGACGAGGAAGGCCCUCUCCCAUGGCGAUGUUGGCAGGGCUCAAGCUCCAGGGGAGAGCCACACACGAGCCCAGCUGAUUCUGGAAGCAGCCCUGAGACAAGCAUUUGUGUGCCAGGGGUUUGUACAGGAGAAGCCCGGCCUCAGCCUGACGCUGCAGGAAGCUCAGGGCAUCAGCUCCACGUCAGAGGGAGCUGAGACGGGAGCUGGCCUCUCAGACUUCUGCACUUGUCGGUCCUUAGUUGAGGGCCUGGAGUGGGGGUGGAGGAAGGGGCAUUUGUAGGCACUCCCGGCUCUGCUCCAGGAGCCCCCGGGCGCCCCAUGAGGAGGGGUGCAGGGGCGAGGGCUGCAGGGAGCAAGCACGUGGUAUCUGGGGCCGGGUGCGCAGACCUGAUGGAAGGGCCCCAGGGAGAUGUGGGCUGAGCACCAACGGCAUCCACUGCAUCAUGUACCUCAUUUACAGCCACAACGCCCCUGAGAGGCCAGGUGGGGAAAUGGAGGCUCAGGGAAGGAAAGUAAGAGAACUGUUCAAGUGUCAGAGUUGGGAUUCUAACCCAGGCCUAAGUGUCACCAAAGGCCCAUGUUCCUGCCAAAGCUUACAUUCCUUCUUUGCUUAUUCAAUAAAUCGACAGGCAUUUGCUGAAUGCCUACUGUACACAAAGCCCAAGCCCCUGCCCUCCAGAUGGGGGCUGCCCGCCCCAGGGCCCCUGCCCUCCUGAUGAGGCUGCCCGCCCCAGGGGCCCCUGCCCUCCACAUAGGGGCUGCCCGCCCCAGGGGCCCCUGCCCUCCAGAUGAGGCUGCCCACCCCCGCUGCUCCUGGGCAUCAUCCUCUCCCAGGCUGAGUGUCAGACUCAUCUGUUCAUUUUCCUCUGUGCUGGCACCAGGAAGCAGACAAUCUCAGACGCAAUCAGGGCAUGUGGUGUGUCAACUUGGGGCCUCCUGAGGACUGGGCUCACGGGAAGGUGGGUGACGAGGCCCUCUGAAGGAGGUCAGCAGAUGAGCUGGAGCAUUAACCCGGCCGGGACAAGCUUGUCCUUGGAGUGACGGAGGUGACUCAACUGCAAUAGCCUGCAGUUCCAGAAGGUGCCACUGGGAGAGGACUUGGAGAGCUUGUGGGUCCUGUCCCAGUGGAGGUGGGGACUCAGGGGGCAGUCGGCCUGUGCACAGGCACACAAAGCUUGGAGCCCUCACAAACCCCAGCUUUACUGGGGUUUUACCACUCGCUGGCUGUGUGACCUUGGGUAGGUUAAUGAACCUCUCUGGGCCUCUGUUUCCUUGCCUAUAAAACGAGAGGAGGCAUCAUAGAGGGGCUGGGAGGACUCAGUGAAUUAUCCAAGUUGGGGCGGCACCAGUAAGCAGUCCACGGGCUUGACGAUGAUGAUGGUGACGAUGAUGACCAUCACUCCCACGGCUGAUGGAACUGUCUGGAAGGAGGGCUCCUCCUCCCUGGCCUUGGGUAAGGCUCACAGCGCCCCCAUCAAACCUCCGGGCUCUGGGCCCGGUCCCUCAGAGCUGAGCUCUCCUGCCUCAGGCGUCCGCACAGGGUGCUGGCUUUGGCCUUGCUGCGCAUUCAUGAGGGUCAGACUGUCAGGUAAGGCUUCUCCAGGGCCUGCGCGGCUGGACAUCGUGCUGAGGAAGCACCUCCCAUGCAUUUUCCCACGUCAUCCCCAACCCACCCCUUUGCUCAGUCGAUCCCCAGCCUGGUGGCCCAGGGGGCUUUCGGGCACUGCUGGCUGCACAGCCUGUGCACCCCAUGCUGCGUGUUGGGGGCACGGGGCAGGGCACACACAGUGAGGGCUGAGAAAGGUGGCUGAGCGAGGGGCCCUCGUGUGAGCAGCUUGGGAGCCGUGUCUGUUCUGCAGGACCUGCCUCCUCGGUGCCGAGUGACAGGGGCUCAGGGAGUCUGCUUCCAGGCGUUCUAGGCGACAUCCAGGCACAGAGGACACCAACAGCAGCCCAGCGCCCGCAUGGGUGGGACAGUCACAGCACAGGCAGAGUGCGCUCUCCAGCAGCCCUGACUCUCUCCACGCUGGGGUGGGCUGGGUGGGUGGGGCCCUGGAGGUCUCUUCGUCUUCUGGCUCCUCCUGCUGAAUGCUGCUGGGCCUGUGCCCUGGGGAUCCUCUAGCUGCCACCUGCCACAGAGCGGUGCUAAAAAGGUUUCAGAGGGACUCGGGGCGGGGCGCUGCCAAGGAUGGAUCAAUGCUGCAGUCACUGCCGGCAACACCGCUCAGGGGCAGAGGGCAAUAGGGAGCCAGAGGAAGUGCUCCUGGAGAACGUGGCUGCUUUGAUCCACCCCCAGGAGAGCACUGGACAGGGAGUCCUGCGGGCGUGGGCCCCCCGUCAGAUGGGCCCAUCUCUGCCCCUCGUGCUGUGUUGCGGUGUGCUUAAGGCCCAGCCACUCUGUCCUUGCCUUCCUCCUCUGUGAAAGGGGACAGAACAGGACACCCUCAUGGAUCCGGGACCCCCACAUGCUUGACAAUGCGUCAGGCAGCUCAGAACCCUCUACCUUCACUGAAGUCAGGUAGGCUCCUGACAAGUGAGGACGCAGAUGCACCGAGAGGCAGAGCUACUCCUGAGGCCACACAGCUCCUAAGUGGCUGUAGUGGUCACGGUCGCUGCCCUGCCACACCUCUCUCCAGGAUCCAUCUUUUCAUGCCAAAGGCCGGGGACACCUGUGACUGCACCUCAGGGCUCUUUACAGCUGCAGGAGCAGGUGGGCUAAAACAGCCGGGGGUCUGGGGAGUGAGUGUCCCGGAAGCAGUUCUCAGCCCACAAGGUGUGGACGAGUCCCCCUGCUCUGCUCCUCCCUUGAGCAGACUCUGGGACCUGCUCCACGCUGUCUCCCAGGGCUCACACACCCUUUACUGGCUCCUUCCCUCCUCGGCCCCACAGGCCGCUCCCCUGACAGUACCUCCCAGAUCAAGUACUUGCCCUGGAACCGUUGUUGCAGGGUCUGACCCUGAGACCCCACUCCCCAAGUCAGGAGUGGGACCCAGACAGCCGGGCUCCAGAACCAGGUUCUUAAGCACAACUCUCUGAUGCCGCCCUUUGAGAGGAGGUGACGUGUAGUCCUCCCUCCACGCCGGGCACCCAAGGACAGCGCAACGAGAGGCAACCGCUGGUGCAGUUUGUGCUGCUCUUGCCAUCUGAGGUGGGAAGCCACACUUUUGCAGGCCCCUUCCCGCUCCCACCUUCCAAGACUCUGCAUCCGGUCGCAGAGGGCCUGGCAAGCAUCGUGACCUCAGUGAGGACAAAAUGUUUCAAAAGGAUGGAGACACAAGACUCCUGGGCCUCUGAGAUCCUCCAAGAGGACUUCCUACUGCCCCUCGACACUCUCUGCCUGUCUCACAGUAUCCCUCACAAAUGGUCUUUUAGUCUCUGCUUGUCUACCUCCAGGGACAGGGCGCUCACCACCUCUCGAGGUCACAGCUCUAAUCAUUUGAAAGCUUGUCUCUAUACUGAGCCAACAUCUACCUCUGCACUGGCCUGGCUUUGCCAUCUAGGAGGUAGUGAAAAUCCUGUUCACAUGGGAGAGCUGAGGCCCAGGCUAUGUGACCCCUGAGCUGUCACUGUCCAUCCCUCAGCUUUUCUUAGACUGCUGAGCUGCAGACAGACCAGGCACACAGUUCAUCACUUCUUCCUCCUACUGCCCCUCGACACAUAUACGUUCUCUGCCUCUAAACGCACUAGGCAGCUUUGAAAGCAUUCACGUGUCACGUGAAUACAGUUACAUAAAUAUUACGGGUGCAUGAUUUUAGGGAUCACAAGUGCUGAGGUUCCAAGGUGAAAAGAGUCUGCUUUUUUUGGAAAAGAUAUUUGAACAUGGGACAUUUUCAGGAAAAAGAGUGACAGGCGUAGGUGGUUCUGUCUUGGAAACCCGCCUUUCCUGGCUUCUCGGCUCAGCGGAGCCGCCGGGCUCCAUCAGUCGCAGAUGUGGUUGUUCUCUCGCAGCUCUAGGUUUAGGACUCACUUUGUAAGCAUGAGGCCCACAAGGUGGGUGCCGGAGAGCGGGCUUGUCAUGUGACCUUAGAGGGUCCUUACAGGGGGACCUUAGAGACAAGCACGGGAAGACAGAGAGACCUCCAUGUGGAGCUCAUGGCCUAGCAGGGGAGCAGACCGCUAGCACCAACUGUCACUGUGGUGGCCGGAGCCCUGAAGGAGGGCUGCACAGAAGGCCGACACUGCAUGGGGGGCAUUCGUUCUAGUCUGGGAAAGAGGCUUCCCAGAGAAAAGAACUUGCUUAAUUUUACUUUUUUAUUGUACAAAGUAGGCCCAUUUUAAGUACACAACUGGGUGAACUUCUACUGAUGUGUAUACAGGGGCGAUCCCCACCCUGACCAAGACGUAGAACCUUCGCAGCCCCUGAAGGCUCCCUGGGCCCCUCUUAGCCAACACCUCCCUCUAAAGGAACCACUCUGCUCAGCCCUUUUGCCAUCGAUUAAUUUUGCCUUUUUUUGACCUUCAUACGAUGGAAUCACACAGAACGUGCUCUUUUGUGCCUGGCCUCUCCCCUCAACAAUUACAUCUGUGAGGUUUGUGUAUGUUGUUGCACGUGAGGAGGAGAAGCCAUUCUUUUUCAUUGCUGUACAAUCUUCCAUUACAUGAAUACACAAGUUGAUAUGCUCAGUUGAUGGCUAUUUGUGGUGUUCUAAUUUUCAUCUACUAUGAACAAAGCUGCUAUGAGAAUGUGACAUUUUUAGCUGAGUAGAAGUUAACUUGAUACAAGGAGGCAGAGGGAGUAGGGAGGAACCAUCGAGAAGGAGGGAAUGACACCUGCAAAGGCCUUUGGCAGGAGGGAGCCUGCAGGCAGGUAUGGCUGAAGGGGUGCCACUUCCUGGCACCACAUUUCUUGGGGAUAUCAAGGGUACUGGGUCCUGAGCCCCUGCUGAACAGGCAUGGUGCGUGGCCCUCGGCAUCCAUUCCCACCUCAUCACAUGCAGAGGCUGGAAAGCCAAAAGACUACACUGGGCAGGCUCCCGUGCAGCUGGCUCUGGGUGUGGGGGAGGGGCCAUCAGGAAACACGCUGAGGGAGGUGAAGGCGGGGCAUCUCCGUGCUGCUUUGGGCUGUGUUCCACUGUCCAACAGGGCCACUGGGAUGUGGGGUUUUCUGCCGCGGCAUCCCAAUGUCUGAUCUUGGGCUGCUGCGCUGUGGGAUAGGCCCUGAUCCCAGCUCCCGGCAGCAGGGGGAGCUGUGCCCCAACCAGCCGGCUGUGUGGAGCGGGCAGUGCCCUCCCGCCCUGCAGGCCGGCUCUUCAGAGCUCCGGGAGGCAGCCCAGGAGGCCCAGCCGAGGGUCCCUCUGUGACUUUGUAAAUACCUGUUGCUGUAUCAAAUCCGGUGUGCUUCAAACACCUGGAGGCACCGCCCCCACCGCGGAGACGGCUGCUGUCAAUACAGAGACUCACACACGGUGGGAAGGACGUGCAGAAACUGGAACCCUUGCACAUUGCGGGUGAGAAUGUAAAAUGGAGCAUCCGCUGUGGAAAGCUGUUGGCAGUGCCUCAAAAAUUAAAAAUAGAAUACCCUAUGAUCCAGCAAUUCCACUUCUGGGUAUAAAUUUAAAAGAACUGAAGAGACUUUUGUCCACCCACGUUCACAGCAGCAUUAUUCACAGUAGGCAAGAGGUGGAAGCAACUCAAACACGACAGGGACACGGAUAAACAAAAUGUGGCAUAUGCAUGUCAUAAAAAGUUAUUCCUCCUUAAAAAGGAAGGGAACGCUGACACAUGCUCCAACAUGGAUGAACCUUGAGGAUGUCAUGCUGAGUGAAACAGCCAGACACAAAAGGACAAACUCUGCAUGGUUCCACUCAUAUGAGGUAUCUGACACAGAGUCAUCAAAUUCAUGGAGAUGGAAAGUGGAAGGGUGGCUGCCAGGGGCCAAGAGCAGGGGCAUGGGGAACUAGUGUUCAAUGGGGACAGGGUUUCAGUUUUGCAAGACGAAAAGAGUUCUUUUCAUGAAAAUAGUAAAUUUUAUUUUAUACAUAUUUUACCACAAUCAACAAACCCAAAAAACAAAACCCCAAAAUACCUGGAGAGGGGCCAGCCCUGUGGUGCAGUGGUAAGCUCGCGUGCUCUGCUUCGGUGGUCUGGGGUUCACAGGUUCAGAUCCUGGGUGCAGACCUGUGCACUGCUUGUCAAGCCAUGCUGUGGUGGCACCCCACAUAAAAUAGGAGAAGACUGGCACAGAUGUGAGCUCAGCAACAAUCUUCCUCAAGCAAAAAG
rnacentral:lncRNA from 1 species